rnacentral:rRNA from 1 species
UACGUAGGUGGCAAGCGUUAUCCGGAAUUAUUGGGCGUAAAGCGCGCGCAGGUGGUUUCUUAAGUCUGAUGUGAAAGCCCACGGCUCAACCGUGGAGGGUCAUUGGAAACUGGGAGACUUGAGUGCAGAAGAGGAAAGUGGAAUUCCAUGUGUAGCGGUGAAAUGCGUAGAGAUAUGGAGGAACACCAGUGGCGAAGGCGGUCCCCUGGGCCGGAACGUGACGCUGAGGCGCGAAAGCGUCGGGUAGCAAACGGG